UUCCCGUGUGAUCACCGAAGUUAAGCAAUGCCGAGUCUGGUCAAUAUCUAGAUGGGUGACCUCCUGGGAAUACCAAGUGAAGCA